CCAAUAGCGUAUAUUAAAGUUGUUGCAGUUAAAAAGCUCGUAGUUGAAUUUCGGGAUCAAUAUGUCGGUCGUGCCUCGGUACGUACUGGCAUCAUUGGUUUCUCCCUUCUGAUGAACCAUGAUGCCAUUAGUUUGGUGUUGUGGGGAAUCAGGACUGUUACUUUGAAAAAAUUAGAGUGUUUAAAGCAGGCUCACGCUUGAAUACAUUAGCAUGGAAUAAUGAGAUAGGACGUUUGUUUCUAUUUUGUUGGUUUUUAGGAUCAACGUAAUGAUUAAUAGUGAGAGUUGGGGGCAUUAGUAUUCAAUUGUCAGAGGUGAAAUUCUUGGAUUUAUGGAAGACUAACUACUGCGAAAGCAUUUGCCAAGGAUGUUUUCAUUAAUCAAGAACGAAAGUUAGGGGAUCGAAGACGAUCAGAUACCGUCGUAGUCUUAACCAUAAACUAUGCCGACUAGGGAUCGGAUGAUGUUAAUUUUUUAAUGACUCAUUCGGCGCCUUACG
rnacentral:rRNA from 1 species